rnacentral:rRNA from 1 species
GGGUUGUGAGGUUAAGCGACUAAGCGUACACGGUGGAUGCCCUGGCAGUCAGAGGCGAUGAAGGACGUGCUAAUCUGCGAAAAGCGCCGGCGAGGUGAUAUGAACCUUUGACCCGGCGAUGUCCGAAUGGGGAAACCCAGUGUGUUCCGACACACUAUCGUUAACUGAAUACAUAGGUUAACGAGGCGAACCGGGGGAACUGAAACAUCUAAGUACCCCGAGGAAAAGAAAUCAACCGAGAUUCCCCCAGUAGCGGCGAGCGAACGGGGAGCAGCCCAGAGUCUGAAUCAGCUUGUGUGUUAGUGGAAGCGUCUGGAAAGUCGCACGGUACAGGGUGACAGUCCCGUACACGAAAGCACACAGGCUGUGAACUCGAAGAGUAGGGCGGGACACGUGGUAUCCUGUCUGAAUAUGGGGGGACCAUCCUCCAAGGCUAAAUACUCCUGACUGACCGAUAGUGAACCAGUACCGUGAGGGAAAGGCGAAAAGAACCCCGGCGAGGGGAGUGAAAAAGAACCUGAAACCGUGUACGUACAAGCAGUGGGAGCCUCUUUUAUGGGGUGACUGCGUACCUUUUGUAUAAUGGGUCAGCGACUUAUAUUCUGUAGCAAGGUUAACCGUAUAGGGGAGCCGAAGGGAAACCGAGUCUUAACUGGGCGUUAAGUUGCAGGGUAUAGACCCGAAACCCGGUGAUCUAGCCAUGGGCAGGUUGAAGGUUGGGUAACACUAACUGGAGGACCGAACCGACUAAUGUUGAAAAAUUAGCGGAUGACUUGUGGCUGGGGGUGAAAGGCCAAUCAAACCGGGAGAUAGCUGGUUCUCCCCGAAAGCUAUUUAGGUAGCGCCUCGUGAACUCAUCUUCGGGGGUAGAGCACUGUUUCGGCUAGGGGGCCAUCCCGGCUUACCAACCCGAUGCAAACUACGAAUACCGAAGAAUGUUAUCACGGGAGACACACGGCGGGUGCUAACGUCCGUCGUGAAGAGGGAAACAACCCAGACCGCCAGCUAAGGUCCCAAAGUCAUGGUUAAGUGGGAAACGAUGUGGGAAGGCACAGACAGCCAGGAUGUUGGCUUAGAAGCAGCCAUCAUUUAAAGAAAGCGUAAUAGCUCACUGGUCGAGUCGGCCUGCGCGGAAGAUGUAACGGGGCUAAACCAUGCACCGAAGCUGCGGCAGCGACACUAUGUGUUGUUGGGUAGGGGAGCGUUCUGUAAGCCGUUGAAGGUGUCCUGUGAGGGGUGCUGGAGGUAUCAGAAGUGCGAAUGCUGACAUAAGUAACGAUAAAGCGGGUGAAAAGCCCGCUCGCCGGAAGACCAAGGGUUCCUGUCCAACGUUAAUCGGGGCAGGGUGAGUCGACCCCUAAGGCGAGGCCGAAAGGCGUAGUCGAUGGGAAACAGGUUAAUAUUCCUGUACUUGGUGUUACUGCGAAGGGGGGACGGAGAAGGCUAUGUUAGCCGGGCGACGGUUGUCCCGGUUUAAGCAUGUAGGCGGAGGUUCCAGGUAAAUCCGGUUCCUUAUUAACGCUGAGGUGUGAUGACGAGGCACUACGGUGCUGAAGUAACAAAUGCCCUGCUUCCAGGAAAAGCCUCUAAGCAUCAGGUAACAUCAAAUCGUACCCCAAACCGACACAGGUGGUCAGGUAGAGAAUACCAAGGCGCUUGAGAGAACUCGGGUGAAGGAACUAGGCAAAAUGGUGCCGUAACUUCGGGAGAAGGCACGCUGAUAUGUAGGUGAAGCCCCUGCGGGUGGAGCUGAAAUCAGUCGAAGAUACCAGCUGGCUGCAACUGUUUAUUAAAAACACAGCACUGUGCAAACACGAAAGUGGACGUAUACGGUGUGACGCCUGCCCGGUGCCGGAAGGUUAAUUGAUGGGGUUAGCGGUAACGCGAAGCUCUUGAUCGAAGCCCCGGUAAACGGCGGCCGUAACUAUAACGGUCCUAAGGUAGCGAAAUUCCUUGUCGGGUAAGUUCCGACCUGCACGAAUGGCGUAAUGAUGGCCAGGCUGUCUCCACCCGAGACUCAGUGAAAUUGAACUCGCUGUGAAGAUGCAGUGUACCCGCGGCAAGACGGAAAGACCCCGUGAACCUUUACUAUAGCUUGACACUGAACACUGGUCCUUGAUGUGUAGGAUAGGUGGGAGGCUUUGAAGCGUGGACGCCAGUCUGCGUGGAGCCAACCUUGAAAUACCACCCUUUAAUGGCUGGUGUUCUAACGUAGACCCGUAAUCCGGGUUGCGGACAGUGUCUGGUGGGUAGUUUGACUGGGGCGGUCUCCUCCCAAAGAGUAACGGAGGAGCACGAAGGUUAGCUAAUCCUGGUCGGACAUCAGGAGGUUAGUGCAAUGGCAUAAGCUAGCUUGACUGCGAGAGUGACGGCUCGAGCAGGUGCGAAAGCAGGUCAUAGUGAUCCGGUGGUUCUGAAUGGAAGGGCCAUCGCUCAACGGAUAAAAGGUACUCCGGGGAUAACAGGCUGAUACCGCCCAAGAGUUCAUAUCGACGGCGGUGUUUGGCACCUCGAUGUCGGCUCAUCACAUCCUGGGGCUGAAGUAGGUCCCAAGGGUAUGGCUGUUCGCCAUUUAAAGUGGUACGCGAGCUGGGUUUAGAACGUCGUGAGACAGUUCGGUCCCUAUCUGCCGUGGGCGCUGGAGAAUUGAGGGGGGCUGCUCCUAGUACGAGAGGACCGGAGUGGACGCAUCACUGGUGUUCGGGUUGUCAUGCCAAUGGCACUGCCCGGUAGCUAAAUGCGGAAGAGAUAAGUGCUGAAAGCAUCUAAGCACGAAACUUGCCCCGAGAUGAGUUCUCCCUGAGACUUUAAGUCUCCUGAAGGAACGUUGAAGACUACGACGUUGAUAGGUCGGGUGUGUAAGCGCAGCGAUGCGUUGAGCUAACCGAUACUAAUGAACCGUGAGGCUUAACCUUACAACGCCGAAGGUGUUU